rnacentral:lncRNA from 1 species
GAGACAAAGCAAUAUAUUUAUAGACUUGGGGAUAUCUACUAUGACCAAAGGCAACAAAUUGAUAGGUUCGAGAACUUUUAUGAGGAGCAAGGCCAACGCGUCGAUAGGCUCGGGAAUAUCUAUGAGACUAUGCAUGAGCAACACUCGCAUCAAUUGGCUGAAAUUGAUGCUCAACUCGUUCUCGUUCCUUUUGGGCUCAUCUUGUUCCUCCUUCACCUCCUCCACCGUUCGAUCCGGCAAACGCCCCUUCUCGGCCCCCUUCUAUCGUGACACACCUUAUUGAUGAUGCCCGAAAAUCAAGUGUUUUUUUUUGUCUCUAGUCUUUGAUUUUUGUUGUUGGUUAGUCAAAAGCUCAGUUUCUUUUAGAACAUUUUGUUUUAUUCGCCCAAUUUUUGUGUCAAAGCCAGUCAAGGCACUAGUUUCUUUUGUGGAUGUUUUUAAUGAACAGUUUUUUUCUAUGAGUUAUGCCUCUUUGCUUUACGUAUAUGAACUAUGAAUGCCAUGAUUUGCCAUGCAUACCAUGAAUGCCAUAUAAUAUGCCAAAUGAUUAGAUUUAAAAGGCUGUUAAUAAGCAUAAACUAAGGGGGAGUUUUGAUUAAGGGGGAGCUUUCAAAAUUUUAAACAAAACAACGAUUUUCAAAAAUAAAUUAUGUCAUCUCAAAAAGGGGAGAUUGUUGAAAUAAAAGUUUUAAUUUUAAUAAUUGUAAUUGUUUAAAACUAAGUCAAGACUAAACUUUAUUGAAAAUAAGUGUUACGAAGGAAAAACAAACAGUAAUCUAAAGAAUAUGCUUCAUAUGGCUUAAAAGGAGUUUUGAAAACUUUCGAAUCUUGAAAGACCACAGCCAAAGUAUAAAGAAUAAAGUCAAGUGCUCUCUAGAAAUUUAGUUCAUGGACGACCGAAGUUAAACUUCAAUUGACCAAAAGUUUAAAGAGCACAACGAACCAGCACAGAGCAUAGUCGAAUGCCAGAAACACUCAAAUUGGUUGAACAAACUUGCUCUCUAGAAAUUUAGUUAGAUGACGACCGAAAUUAAACUUCGUUCAACUAAAGUUUUGGAAAGUACGAUUGAAGUUCCUAAAAGCACAACCGAACUUAGAAGGCACAUCCGAAGUCUAAAGACAAAGCAGAGCAUUAGAAUUGCUCUCUAGAAUUCAAGAAUAUUGAUGACCGAACUUCAGGUUGACCAAAGUUCAAAUUAGGCACGACCAAACCUCAGAGAUGCAAAAUAGAGCAACAUAUUUGCUCACUGGAAUAUUAGGCAAAUGACGACCGAAGUUCACGACCGAAGUUUGAAUUUUCAAUUUGGCACGUCCAAAUCACUGAUCCAACAACUGAGAUUAAAUCAGAACGGCCAGUCCAGAGCAUUUAAUGCUACAACGAUUAUUUUCAUAUCCGGGUAUAUAAAAUCAACCCUGAAGGGUGUUGGGUACGUAUUGAAGUACCUUAAACGUAUUUUUUUUGCUAGUAUUCAAUACUUAAAUCCUUGAGCAUUCAUUGUAAGUUUUUGAUUGAGAUCAAAAACAAAUAGAAGUUAUACCACUUUAGAAAAGGAGAGCUUUCAUUAUAUUCAUUUUUCGGUCUAGAGUUGGUGAGUUACAAAUUUCUCAUUCAUUGUAUCCUAUUGAGAGAAUCACAUUGAGUGAUUGAAAAAGAUCCAAAGUAAAGACUCUUGAAGACUAGAAGAGUUCUAGUUGUGUAAAGGUUGGCAAAUACCCGCAAACUGUUAAAAAAUAUGAUAUCCCAAUAAGGUCUUGCAGAAGUGGGACGUGCAUCUGGUAUUUUCCAAACCACUAUCAAUAGUUUUGUCAACUCUCCUUAUCCAUUCUCUUUAUGCUUAUACAUAAUAUUUGAGCGAAGUGCAUAAAUUUUAAUUGGCCAUUAAUAGUAGAAAACCUAUUUUACCCCUUCAUAGUUUGUUUUCUAGCUAACAAUCAAAAAAAGAAAAGAAAAGUGAAAUGUAGAAUUGUAUGAGGAAGUGAUAGGAAAAAAAAAUAUUUUCAUGUAUUCUAACCAGAAUUAUUGUGAUUGGUGGCUCUUGUCGGAAAAAAUAGGAAACUUACUUUUCUCCAUUAGCCACAAUCCACAAGCUUAUUAUCCCUUCCAUUCUUCAACUCUCUAUGAAUAUAUACUUUAUAAAGUCGAGUGAUUUUCAUGAUUCUCUUUUCUUCAAUUGCAUUUUAUUUAUUUAUUUUUUUAUUAGAAUUAAUUUACUCAAAUAUUCUUGAAUAAAGAAUUUGAGUAAAAGAGGUUGGGUAAUAUUAAAGAAACAAAGGAGUGCAAUUUACCCUGUUUAGUUUGAAAAUGGAAGAAAUUGCAUGGAAGUCAAGUGAUACCGCAUUAUUUGAAUGUAAUUUUCAAUGUUAAAAGUUUAUUUACUGUUAAAGUUUCUAUUAAUUCAAUGUGAUGCUCUGAAACGAUACAAUGAAAUCUUUCACAAAUCUCUUUAGUGUAUGUAAUAGUCUCUCUUCUUUAAUUCAUAAACUCGAGAUGAUAUUUUAU